rnacentral:rRNA from 1 species
CCUACGGGAGGCUGCAGUGGGGAAUAUUGGACAAUGGGCGAAAGCCUGAUCCAGCCAUGCCGCGUGUGUGAAGAAGGCCUUCGGGUUGUAAAGCACUUUCAGUGGGGAAGAAAGCCUUGGGGCUAAUACCCUCGAGGAAGGACAUCACCCACAGAAGAAGCACCGGCUAACUCCGUGCCAGCAGCCGCGGUAAUACGGAGGGUGCGAGCGUUAAUCGGAAUUACUGGGCGUAAAGCGCGCGUAGGCGGUCUGAUAAGCCGGUUGUGAAAGCCCCGGGCUCAACCUGGGAACGGCAUCCGGAACUGUCAGGCUAGAGUGCAGGAGAGGAAGGUAGAAUUCCCGGUGUAGCGGUGAAAUGCGUAGAGAUCGGGAGGAAUACCAGUGGCGAAGGCGGCCUUCUGGACUGACACUGACGCUGAGGUGCGAAAGCGUGGGUAGAAAACAGGAUUAGAUACCCCUGUAGUC